CGGGGUGUAGUUCAGUGGCAGAACACAUGCUUGGUAGGUGUGAGGCCCUGUGUUCAAUCCCCAGCACUGCAA
rnacentral:tRNA from 1 species